rnacentral:tRNA from 1 species
GUGUAGCUCAGUGGUAGAGCGCUCCCUUAGCAUGGGAGAGGGCUGGGGUUCAAUUCCCCAUAACUCCA